CCUUGUGAAUAGAAGAUUGAUGUUCCCAUUUUAGAGAUGAGAAAAGUGAGACUCAGCAUUUUCAUAACAUGUCUAACUUUCUGUAUACUCACUAUAUGACUGAGAGAACGUGUCAUCUCAUUUAAUCCUCACAACAAUCUGAUGAGGUCUGCUGCACUCACAAGCCAGGUUAUGUCAGCUGGACUAUGUGGUGCCUUUUGUACCUGUCUGCAUCCUGCCAUCUGUUUGCCAUCUGCAGAGGGCUCAACUUGCAGUCCCAAAGGAAAGCACUUCUCUCUCCUGCUGCCAUGUGAAGAAGGAUGUGUUUGCUUCACCUUCCACCAUGAUUGCGAGUUUCCUGAGGCCUCCUCAGCCACACGGAAAUCAAUCAUUGUUGAAACUUCUGUCCUCAAGUUUAAUAUGAGAGAGUAUAAAACUAGGGUUCUACACAAUGAGCUCCCGGUCUGCAGAGCUUCUGGGUGUGAUUUGCUGAAAAAGGUUUCAGUUUAG
rnacentral:lncRNA from 1 species